rnacentral:rRNA from 1 species
UACGGGGGGGGCAAGCGUUGUUCGGAAUUACUGGGCGUAAAGGGCUCGUAGGUGGCCAACUAAGUCAGACGUGAAAUCCCUCGGCUUAACCGGGGAACUGCGUCUGAUACUGGAUGGCUGGAGAUUGGGAGAGGGAUGCGGAAUUCCAGGUGUAGCGGUGAAAUGCGUAGAUAUCUGGAGGAACACCGGUGGCGAAGGCGGCAUCCUGGACCGAGAUUGACGCUGAUGCGCGAAAGCCAGGGGAGCAAACGGG